rnacentral:tRNA from 1 species
AGUCCUGUAGCUCAGUGGUUAGAGCACUCGCCUGUCAAGCGAGAAACCUGGGUUCAACUCCCAGCAGGGCGA